rnacentral:ribozyme from 15 species
AGACACCAGCAAGAAAUCGAGAUGAAAAAAGAAGAUCAAGGAUUGACCAACACUCUGCACAUCCACACAUUGUAUCUUUCGCAAUUCAUAAUCCCUUCUUUUCUUCUCCUUUCCUU